rnacentral:rRNA from 1 species
AAUUAAACGGCCGCGGUACCCUAACCGUGCAAAGGUAGCGUAAUCAUUUGUCUAUUAAUUGUAGACCUGUAUGAAAGGCAUAAUGAGGGUUUAACUGUCUCUUUUAGUAAAUCAAUUAAACUGAUCUCCUAGUCCAAAAGCUAGGAUACCAACAUAAGACCAGAAGACCCUGUGAAACUUUAACUAAAAUAUUAAAGCCUAUAAUAACUACUUUAGGUUGGGGCGACCUUGGAAAAUAAAAGAACUUCCACACACAUAUUAUAUAAUAAUAUAUAACCGGCCAACAAGCCUACAACGACCCAGCACAGCUGACAAUUGAACCAAGCUACUCCAGGGAUAACAGCGCUAUCUUCUUCAAGAGCCCAUAUCAAAAAGAAGGUUUACGACCUCGAUGUUGGAUCAGGACAUCCUGAUGGUGCAACCGCUAUUAAGGGUUCGUUUGUUCAACGAUUAAUAGUCCUACGUG